rnacentral:lncRNA from 1 species
UCUCUCUCUCUCUCUAAAUCUUGAAAAAUGGAAGAAAUAGAAGUGUGAAGAGGAAGGGAAGGGGAAGGACAAUUUAUAGAAUUUUAAAACUAUUGGAUUCGUGCCAAGUGGCAAAAUCUAGAAAAGAGAGAAAAAGAUUCUUGGCACGAAAAACUAGGGAGAAAAAUUUUGUAACGGCCCCAGAAAUUUAAAUGAAAUAUGUGUAUUAAAAAUGUCUAAUGCGGAAGUGUAAUAAAAAUUUUGAUUAACAUCCCUUACACAAUAACCAAAACGUACUCAAAACAUGAAGGAACAAACUAACUAAGAGAGAUACUUGAAAUAAAAACUAUAAAUAUAACUAUAAAGUCUUUAGGCGUCCCUUUCGCCGUCUUCCUGCGGAACAGGCACGGGAACAACGUCUUCCUGAUCUGAAAUGUUUAAAUAAGGGAUGAGCUAUACCAGCCCAGUAAAGACAUCACACUAUCUCACCGCCACGGAAGUAAAGGUGGGUAGAAAACAAAAAUGACCAAUGGAGCAUAAUUUAUAACAAAUUCAUUUAUCAGUAAUAAAAUCCUUUACUGUCCACUUACCUCGGCGAGAUCCAUGAAAACAACAUAUGAAAACAAUAACCUUAUAAUAUCAUGAAAUCAUACACACUUUAUAACAUAACAUAUAUCACACCUUUACAUUUCAAUCAUCAGG